UCUGUUUUUCCUCACACUAUUGCAAAACUGAGGUUCCCAAGAUCCAGCAAUAAGAACCUAACCGGACAUGACCCACCAGCUAUCAUUCAGCAAAGAGUAUCCACACCCUCCACUCCUGCCCAUCCCCCACUCCAAUUUCCUCUCAGAGAAGAAAACUCUUGAGGCUGAUAAGGAAACCUCACCAUCUGCUGAAAGCAUGGGACCCAAAGGGUUGAGAUGCACAAGAGACUCACAUAAAGGACCCCAUUCAAUUGCUGCUUCUGAACAAUCAGGAGUGUGUCUUGCGAUAGCGUAAAAUGCCAACCACCCCAUAGACCUAUUUCCUUUAUUGCUUCAGUGAUAAAGCGGCUGAGCGGUUGUUACAGAUAAGGCAGUUUUGUGUGCACUCUGCAUGCAGAAUAGACUUUACUAGCAACAGCAGAGAGAGUGAGCAGGAUAUGGUUGGGUGAGUGUCCAACGAGAGGGGAGCUGAAGCCUUUGGCAAGUGUACCAUGAAACCACUCAUCUACCUCCUCCUGCCUGUCCUCUGUCAUCUCUGCAGCGCCAAAUUCACACAGUCCUCUGACAAGGUGGCCAAAGAAGGAUCAGACUUGGAAUUACAAUGCCAACACAACAUUCCUGCUGGAAAUUAUGACUCUGUCUACUGGUACCUCCAGAAGACCAAUCAGAAACUCACUUAUGUCCAUCACGGAUUUCAAGACAUCACGGAAGCUGGGCAUUAUCAGAUAAAUGUGGAUAGGAAAAAGUGCUGCAGUAAAUUAAUCAUCAGGAAUGUGCAUCUAAGUGACGUGGCUGUAUAUUACUGUGCUUUACAAGGACACUGUGAUUCAUGCCACACACGACACCAAACAAAAACUGCAUGUUUCAAGUGUGAUGCGAAACAAAGAGAACCCAGUAACUAAGAGAAUAAACCAAUGUGACCCACAGGGGGCCUGUGUUCUUUCAAACUUUCCCUUUCAUUCAACAACUAUUUGAAGAAAUGAACAGCUGGUUAUGAAGAUGGUGUCAGAAAACGAGAUCUGGACUUCUAUAUCAGUACUUAGAAAUGAGAACUCUUGGCAAAGACUAUAAUGCAUCUAAUGAGACAUGAGAAGAAUAUGUUCACCUGGAGAGUGGAGAAUCUGAUAAAGAGGACUUUUCAUUGAAAUUGACAAUGAGUUGUUUUCUGAACUCUAAUGAUUAUUGCUUCUAUUUCUAAAUGCUCAUAAUCCAUCCUUUUAAUAACACAUUCUAGAGUUUUGUCAUAAAUUGAAACCAACCUGUAUUCUGUCACUGUCA